GAUCACGCCAUGCCAUCCGACGCUAAUCAGUGGUAUAAAUAGGACACAGAUUCUUCGAUUCCGGCAUAACACAUUUUUUGUGCAAAUAUAUUCUUUGUCUACUCUAUUUCACUCCACGACACCAACCAAAAUCAAAAAUGGGCGCUGAAAAGGUAUCCAUGAACAUCGUUGUCGUUGGACAUGUUCAAUCUUCCAAAGCCAUCAACAAGGUCGCCAAGGCCGCACCAGCCACCAACCAAUUGAUGAACUGUUAAUUCAACAUGUAAUUCAUUCAUCGCAAGCUCAAAAAUGCCAUAGCCCAAACAAUACAUGUAUCUAAUCAAUAACAUGUAUUGACAUUACAAAAUAAAUCAGUAUUUUCAGUAA